CCCAGCUUUUUGUUGAUUUUUUGAAGUUUCUCGAAUCUACACAGCCCAUCACUGUUCCUUCUACAUCUGCUAUAAGGGGUAUGUUAACUAAUUUUUACUUUUCAAAAUGUUUAUACAUAUCUUGGCA
rnacentral:lncRNA from 1 species